rnacentral:lncRNA from 1 species
GGCAAGUUAGUGGCAAAGAGGAGCCCAUAUAGCCAAGUGUCUUGACUCAAUUCAAGUGCUUAUUUCUAUCACAUUGUCUACUACCUGUAUAGAUUUGUCUGUUAGUUUAAGAUUCCUCUUGUUGGGGGAGGCAGAAGCAGUAGGAAGAUAAUUUCUUCCAAGAGUUAGUGACAGUGACAUCAUCACUGAUGUGGUGAUUGUGUGCAGUCAGCUUGACUCUCUUGAUGAGCCUGUGGGUCCACUCUCACCCCACGCACACUGCUGCGACUGCCUGGACCCUGGGGAAGGGAGAGGUACCAGAUGGGACAAGGUGGAUGUGCAGUCUUCGCAGAGGGCAGCAGAAGGCAAAUCAAUGGACACUGGAUGAAAUUAGCUCACAGGGAGAAUAACAUGGCAGUUACUGGUCCAAGACGGUGGGAGAUAUGUGGAGAAGACCUGAAUCCAAUCCACAAUCUACAGCCACGUCCAGGAGUCUAGCAGGAACACAUUCUAGGUCAGCUAAAGCCCAGGUGUCCAGCAGAGUGAGAAAAAUGUUUGUCGUUGUAAGCUAUUAAACUUUCAAGGAUGCUUGUUACAUAGUAGUAUUGGAGAAGAAGCUGACUGGUACAUUGAGACUGAGAGUCAAACCCAGCCUGUGUCCACAGUGCCUGCUCUUGGCUAUCCCACUCCCUCUUCUUACCUCUAAGGGCACUUAUUUUUGUCUUAGCAUAUUAAUACCCUUUUUCUCUUCCUCCUGUUAGACUGUCAGUUCCUAAAGGACAGAAAAUUCAUCUCUCCUCUGCCCCCC